rnacentral:rRNA from 1 species
AGGUCAAGUAGAAAAGGGCGCAUGGUGAAUGCCUAGGCACUAGAAGCCGAUGAAGGACGUGACGAACCACGAAAGGCUUCGGGGAGCAGUAAGUAAGCAAUGAUCCGGAGAUAUCCGAAUGGGGGAACCCAAUACCGCGAGGUAUUAUCAUUAGCUGUUAAGGCUAAUGAAGGAAGACGCAGUGAACUGAAACAUCUAAGUAGCUGCAGGAAGAGAAAGAAAAAUCGAUUUCCCAAGUAGCGGCGAGCGAACAGGAAAGAGCCCAAACCAGCUGGCUUGCCAGUUGGGGUAGUAGGACUGCGAUAUAGUACUUGAAGUGAUAGCAGAAUUAUCUGGAAAGAUAAGCCAGAGAGGGUGAAAGUCCCGUAAGCGAAAUUGCAGAGAGACUUAGCAGGAUCCUGAGUAGGUCGGGACACGAGGAAUCCCGAUUGAAACCGCGAGGACCAUCUCGCAAGGCUAAAUACUAACUAGUGACCGAUAGUGAACCAGUACCGUGAGGGAAAGGUGAAAAGAACCCCGGAAGGGGAGUGAAAAAGAACCUGAAACCGUGUGCCUACAAGUAGUCAGAGCACAUUAAAGUGUAAUGGCGUGCCUUUUGUAGAAUGAACCGGCGAGUUACGUUAUGGUGCAAGGUUAAGUCAGAAAAGACGGAGCCGGAGCGAAAGCGAGUCUGAAGAGGGCGAAAGAGUAUCAUGACGUAGACCCGAAACCAAGUGACCUACCCAUGACCAGGUUGAAGGCGUGGUAAAACACGCUGGAGGACCGAACCCACGUGAGUUAAAAAUCGCGGGGAUGAGUUGUGGGUAGCGGUGAAAUUCCAAACGAACUUGGAGAUAGCUGGUUCUCUCCGAAAUAGCUUUAGGGCUAGCCUCGUGUGAAUGAUAAUGGAGGUAGAGCGCUGUUUGGACUAGGGGCCCGUCAGGGGUUACUGAAUCCAGAUAAACUCCGAAUGCCAGAUAUCAAUGCACGGGAGUCAGACUGCGAGUGAUAAGAUCCGUAGUCGAAAGGGAAACAGCCCAGAUCACCAGUUAAGGUCCCCAAAUCUAUGCUAAGUGGAAAAGGAUGUGGAGUUGCGUAGACAACUAGGAUGUUGGCUUAGAAGCAGCCACCAUUUAAAGAGUGCGUAAUAGCUCACUAGUCGAGUGACGCUGCGCCGAAAAUGUACCGGGGCUAAGCAUAGUACCGAAACUGUGGAUGCAUAUAUUAUAUGCGUGGUAGGAGAGCGUUCUAAGUGCGGCGAAGUUAGAUCGAGAGGACUAAUGGAGCGCUUAGAAGUGAGAAUGCCGGUAUGAGUAGCGAAAGAUAGGUGAGAAUCCUAUCCGCCGAAAGACUAAGGUUUCCUGGGGCAGGCUCGUCCGCCCAGGGUAAGUCGGGACCUAAGGUAAGGCCGAGAGGCGUAGCCGAUGGACAACAGGUAGAGAUUCCUGUACUGAAAUUGUUCGAUAAGAGCAAAGGAGGGACGCAGGAGGCUAAUGACGCAUGUUGCUGGAAAUACAUGUGCAAGCAGUAAGAAAAAAGAUGAGUCAAAUGCUUGUCUUUAGAUUUCAAGCUGUGACGCGGAGCGAAAUAAAAGUAGCGAAGGUCAUGAUGUCACACUGCCAAGAAAAGCUUCUAGCCAGAACAAUUUUACCCGUACCGCAAACCGACACAGGUAGUCGAGUGGAGAACACUCAGGUGAGCGAGAGAACUCUCGUUAAGGAACUCGGCAAAAUGACCCCGUAACUUCGGGAGAAGGGGUGCUGAUAGUAAAAUAUCAGCCGCAGUGAAUAGGCCCAAACAACUGUUUAUCAAAAACACAGGUAUCUGCAAAAUCGUAAGAUGACGUAUAGGUGCUGACACCUGCCCGGUGCUGGAAGGUUAAGAGGAGAGCUUAGCGAAAGCGAAGGUUUGAAUUGAAGCCCCAGUAAACGGCGGCCGUAACUAUAACGGUCCUAAGGUAGCGAAAUUCCUUGUCGGGUAAGUUCCG